rfam:Triticum aestivum genome assembly, contig: Triticum_aestivum_CS42_TGACv1_scaffold_031617_1BL
AUGAUACUCCCUCUGUCCCAAAAUUCUUGUCUUAGAUUUGUCUUGAUACAUUUAGACAAAUCUAAGACAAGAAUUUUGGAACCGAGGGAGUAUUUA